ACAAGUUGGGAGUCACGGCAUUUCUGUUUGUUGAAAGCUAGUUAAUCUUAGAUGCUGUUUGUCAAGAAAAAUUAUGGGAAGAGUAGACACUGAACUAAUGUGACUCUUUCGAUGAACUGAACACAUGGGGAAGCUGAUAUUACUUGAGAUCUCUUGGAAUAGUUGUUGGGUGUAUCUAGAUUCAUGAACACCCUGGAAUUGAAUUAAAUGGUUGCAUUUCUU
rnacentral:lncRNA from 1 species